rnacentral:rRNA from 1 species
AUUGAACGCUGGCGGCAGGCCUAACACAUGCAAGUCGAACGCGUGGCGGACGGGUGAGUAAUGUCUGGGAAACUGCCUUAUGGGGGGGGAUAACUUCUGGAAACGGUCGCUAAUACCGCAUACCAUCGGAUGUGCCCAGCUGGGAUUGGCUAGUAGGUGGGGUAACGGCUCACCUAGGCGACGAUCCCUAGCUGGUCUGAGAGGAUGACCAGCCACACUGGAACUGAGACACGGUCCAGACUCCUACGGGAGGCAGCAGUGGGGAAUAUUGCACAAUGGGCGCAAGCCUGAUGCAGCCAUGCCGCGUGUAUGAAGAAGGCCGUCGGGUUGUAAAGUACUUUCAGCGGGGAGGCGUUACCCGCAGAAGAAGCACCGGCUAACUCCGUGCCAGCAGCCGCGGUAAUUC